rnacentral:rRNA from 1 species
UCUAAUACCGGAUAUGACUCAAGGUCGCAUGGKCUUGGGUGGAAAGCUCCGGCGGUGCGGGAUGGGCCCGCGGCCUAUCAGCUUGUUGGUGAGGUAACGGCUCACCAAGGCGACGACGGG